rnacentral:rRNA from 1 species
CCCGAAAUUUCGUAUUGGGGUGAUUCAUCGUCAACGGCGUCGGCUUCGUCGCGGUCCCGCGAUACUGCGACCACGCGUUCGCGGCACGCGGCCGCGCGAUGCCCGUCAUCGACGACGUGCACUUCUCCCCUUGCAGAACGUCGCGACCCGUUGGGCGUCGGUCUACGGCCCGAGUCGGUAGCCUGUCAUCGGCGCUUCGUUCGACGAUGGCAGACCGUCGGUAGCCCGGCCGGCUGCCCGGCGGUACCCGUACGGUAUUCAGCCGCAUCUAAUUGCGUCCAGCCCGUCGCAAGCGAGACCAGAUUACGCCGGUGGUCGGACCAAGCGCCGGCCCCGGAACUGGUCGGCUGUUGGCAGACGGUGUCCUCGGACGGGCUGUAAUUUUUUUUUACCGGUCGGCGACGCUAUUGCUUCGGGUACUUUCA